CCGACGGUGAGGGGUGAAAGCUGGGAGCACGAACCGGAUUAGAUACCCGGGUAGUCCCAGCCGUAAACGAUGCUCGCUAGGUGUCUGGGAUGGUGCGACCGUUUCAGGUGCCGCAGGGAAGCCGUGAAGCGAGCCACCUGGGAAGUACGGCCGCAAGGCUGAAACUUAAAGGAAUUGGCGGGGGAGCACUACAACGGGUGGGGCCUGCGGUUUAAUUGGACUCAACGCCGGAAAACUCACCUGGGGC
rnacentral:rRNA from 1 species